rnacentral:rRNA from 1 species
GAUGAACGCUAGCGGCAGGCCUAAUACAUGCAAGUCAAGGGGAUAGCAAUAUCACCAGCGGACGGGUGCGUAACGCGUACACAACGUGCCCAAGGGCGGAGGAAAGCGGCGGGAAACUGCCGGUAAUACUCCAUGGUGUUGUUGAGUGGCAUCACUUAACAACUAAAGUACAAGCGCCCUUGGAUCGGUGUGCGUUCGAUUAGCUAGUUGGCGGGGUAACGGCCCACCAAGGCUUCGAUCGAUAGGGGGUGUGAGAGCAUGACCCCCCCANACGGGGUACUGAGACACGGACCCGACUCCUACGGGAGGCAGCAGUAAGGAAUAUUGGACAAUGGGCGGAAGCCUGAUCCAGCCAUGCCGCGUGAAAGACGAAGGCGCUCAGCGUUGUAAACUUCUUUUGGAUGGGAACAUAACUCCGACUUGUCGGAACUUGAGGGUACCAUCAGAUAAGCACCGGCUAACUCCGUGCCAGCAGCCGCGGUAAUGUCAC